CUCGUCGUCCUCAUCGGGGUCUCGACCUGACUGCAGUUCGUCGUCGUAACCGACUUGAGUGGGCAAAUGCUCAAAUUCGAUGGCAUCUGGCACUUUGUAGAGGUGUUCUCUUCAAGGAUGAAGCCUGGUUUUCACUGUCCA